AUAUAUGCCUCCUUGACUAUGAUUUUGAUAUAACUUCCAAACAUACAAUGUAUAUGCAUUAUCUGAUUAAUCUAAUAGUUUGAGUUGAGAUACAUUUCAGGAAAGAAUCAAACACUACACUUGGACAAAUCUUGGAUCUCAAGCAAAGAUUGAUCAUAUCAUACAAGGCUUGAAGAUUAUGUGUAAAUGUGUCUAUUGUUCAUAGUGUUUAUUAGUUAGAUUCAUCAUUAUGAUUUCACACAUCUAAUAUUUGCCAAUUAAAACUGAAAUCAUAAAAUAAGUAUGUUAAUCAAUCAAUUGGUAAAUCA
rnacentral:lncRNA from 1 species